rnacentral:rRNA from 1 species
GAUGAACGCUGGCGGCGUGCCUAAUACUUGCAAGUCGAGCGAACAGAUGAGGAGCUUGCUCCUCUGACGUUAGCGGCGGACGGGUGAGUAACACGUGGAUAACCUACCUAUAAGACUGGGAUAACUUCGGGAAACCGGAGCUAAUACCGGAUAAUAUAUUUAACCGCAUGGUUCAAUAGUGAAAGACGGUUUUGCUGUCACUUAUAGAUGGAUCCGCGCCGCAUUAGCUAGUUGGUAAGGUAACGGCUUACCAAGGCAACGAUGCGUAGCCGACCUGAGAGGGUGAUCGGCCACACUGGAACUGAGACACGGUCCAGACUCCUACGGGAGGCAGCAGUAGGGAAUCUUCCGCAAUGGGCGAAAGCCUGACGGAGCAACGCCGCGUGAGUGAUGAAGGUCUUCGGAUUGUAAAACUCUGUUAUUAGGGAAGAACAAAUGUGUAAGUAACUAUGCACGUCUUGACGGUACCUAAUCAGAAAGCCACGGCUAACUACGUG